UCACCAUAAUCGGUCAGAUGUAUAUGGAAAUGCGGGCCGGUGCACCAUCACCGGUCCGUGUGCUU
rnacentral:antisense_RNA from 1 species